GUAAACCAAGAAAGAGGCAGAUAUAGAACACAGGAACUAGGAGACCCAAUGAAAAGGAGAGGUGAAGAGACUCGCCGGAAAAGUGAUGCAGGGAGAGCUGAGAGGACAGCCGUGAGUAGGCCUACAGCUCAGCCUCCAGGACAGCCCUCUUUGGAGCAUAUGAACUUGAUAGGAAAUCUAGUGGAUGUGAAGAUACCGAGAGAGUUACACAACUGGGGGAGAGUUUAUGAAUAUAGUAGUGACAAUUGCACAGAAAACUAAGCAAAUGUAAAAAGCAAAACCAUUAUUAACUUUAAGGAUGACAAAAAUUUGUGCUGGGAAAGUAAUCAUACAUGACUUAGGUGUAAAUAGAAUUCACUUAGCCAUCAAGUGCUACAUAUGAUAAGUCAUAAGUGCUACAUAUCAAUCUAACCAAAAUUACUGUAUCUUGGGAAGAUAGGGACAAAAAUGUCUAUUUGUGGCAGAGUUUGGUGGGGGAUGGGAAAGGGGGACAAAUCCUCAUCUUCCCUAGUCGGCAGUCAAUAGAUAAUGCUUCACGCUGAAGAAUCAAGUUGCAGCAGAGCCAUGUUAAGGAUGUGAAGGGAAAGACCACAAGAAAAGGCCAAAUUGGUUGAAAGAAGGGGCUUUGGAAAAGUGAUCAAUGGUUGGGGAGAGGCUCCAGUAUUUUCUGAAAGCCUUUCAGAUGUAUUUGAUUCUUUAAAUGAUGUGUAAUAUAAUUUAAUUUUUAAAACUAAAUUAAAAAUUUAAAUGCCUCCAGAGGUGGAUGCCGAGGAUACUGACUGGAUUGUUGGAUGAAAUGCCACAGGGAAAGCAAUUUUGAUCAUGUGCUGGCUUGGAGCCCAGGUUGAGGAAAAUAUUUUUCUCAAGGGACCUAAGUUACUAAGAGAAAAAGCUGACUAUGGAUGCAGAGGGUUAGGUAGAAUGAUGAAGCAUAAGGAGCAAAAAGCUGCCAGACCCCAGAGUCAGAGUUGGAGCCUGGUAGUUGGGAGGACAUUGAGAAGAGCCCAGGACACUAUGGACUUCAGCAACUUGUGAACUCACAUAUGGUCACUCUAAUAUUAAUGCCAGAUUAGGAGUUGCCACUUGCUUGUUUUUAGAACAAGAGUCCUCACUCUCUUCUGAGUCCCCUCAGUUAACUGUAGGAGUCUUCAAGGGGGGUUUUCAUGCAGGCUCACAAAUCUGACAGCUGCAGUCAACGCGCCUAGGCUACUGUAAUCUUCCUUUCUGGUCCCCUCACUGUCUGACCGAGGUUUUCUGGAAUCUCAUCCUGUCACUGAGUCUCACUUGGGACUAAAUAUGGAGGCCGUGGUCCUAUGCGCUCUCACACUGGAUUAGAGGUCAUUGCUAUAGUCCCAGUGGAUUGUAAAUGGUCAAUUAAAAGGGAGAUGGUUGAAAUGAAUUAAACAAAUGAAGUCACAGCUUUGGGGAACGUGCAUACCACAGGGCAACUGCUUCUACUCCUCCAAAACUCUCCACCUCUAAAUCAAGGACCAAGAAAAAAGCCACAGGAACACAACAGGACAAUAAAGAUUUUGCCACUGACCCAAAGCAACGUGCCUUUGGCAGACUCCCAUCGUCUGAGUUCCAAGAAGCAGAGCCCAGGGGAAAGGCAUGGAAUACCUUUCCAGAACAGAGUUUCUCCUCUGCAUGAUGAGGAAGUUUGAUUUGAGCAGAAAGCUGUGUGCUUUAUUCCCUGCUGUAUCCCCAUUGCUCAAAUGCCACCACUACCUAGCAAAAGCUUACUAGAGCCUUGUUGGAUUCAUUAAAGUGCCUACUCUGCGCCAAGCAUUGUGGGAAGCUCUUUCCAUAACAAUGUGACAUCCCGUUUAAUCCCCACAACAAUGCCAAGUGGCAGGUUUUGUCCUGCUCGUUUUACAGAUGAGAAAACCGAGGCCCAGAAAAGCUAAUUAACUUCCUCAACAGCACAUAGCUGGUAAGCAGCAACUGAACCCAAGUCUGUCUAUCCCUAAAGUCUAUGUCUUCUCUACUUUUCGAGGGGAAAAGAGGAAGUGAAAUCGAGAAUGUAAAGGAUCCAAAUCAGGUUAAGAUUCUCGUACCACAGUUAGGAACCCGGGGCAGUCAGUCCCGUUGUCAAAUGAAGACCAGGAACCCCAGGGCUCAAGACCAGCACAGCUUUCCACUGGUGUUGACAGAGGUCUGAAUGCAAGAGGACUUUCCUACGAAGGCUGAAGAAAAUACGAUGCAGCCGUGGGUGUCAGCUGAAGAACAGCCAACACAAGAGCUGGAUCCUAUUUACCCACGGAAUGAAUUGUGACUGCUAUUUUUCAAGGGAUUAAAAAAAGGAAUGCCGUGUGAAGGAAAACACUUACUCCGCACACCCUGAAGUGAACACAUACCAUUCUUGUUUCGCCAUGAGAACGUUUGGCCAACUGCCUCUCGCCUUUUACCAUUUUCUUGCUCAUUCUCUUACCUUUCUCAAAAAUAAGAGGAUGUUCAUUAAUCAGAGGCACCAUUCUGGGGAGUUGCAUAACAACCUGGAAACCAUCACAACUGGGGAAGUGGGAAGCAACUCGGACUUGCAAAAUUGGAAGUCCUAGAUUUUAGGACAAUAGUCUGCUCCUUAAUUCCUUUGCCUGGGUGAUUAAGCCAGUUUAUCUAAACCUCAGCUCGCUCAUCUACAAGAUGAUGGAAAUGAUAUCUGCUCUGCUGACUUCAUAGGGGUUUUGAGAGGAUUAAACGAGAUGACGUGGGGCUGGCCCCGUGGCCGAGUGGUUAAGUUCGCGCGCUCUGCUGCAGGCGGCCCAGUGUUUCCUUAGUUCGAAUCCUGGGCGCGGACACAGCACUGCUCAUCAGACCAUGCUGAGGCAGCGUCCCACAUGCCACAACUAGAAGAACCCACAACGAAGAAUACACAACUAUGUACCGGGGGGCUUUGGGGAGAAAAAGGAAAAAAUAAAAUCUUAAAAAAAAAAAAACGAGAUGACGUAAGUGAAACUGUCAUUCAAAAGUUGAUGAUUACAGAAUAAGAACGGUAAUGAUCAAUAGGCACAAAUAUGGGAAGAG
ensembl:lncRNA